rfam:Candidatus Kaiserbacteria bacterium RIFCSPHIGHO2_01_FTLL_46_22 rifcsphigho2_01_scaffold_7508, whole genome shotgun sequence.
UUUAAUUAGAGUUUGAUCCUAGCUCAGGAUGAAUGCUGGCGGCGUGGAUGAGGCAUGCAAGUCGAAUGGGUUUAGACCCAUGGCAGACGAGGUAGGAACACGUAGGUACGUACCCCAGAGUCAGGGAUAACCCGGCGAAAGUCGGAAUAACACUUGAUGGUCUCGAAAGAGUAAAGAUUUAUCGCUUUGGGAACGGCCUGCGGGCUAUCAGCUUGUUGGUAA